CGCUGCGCCUCUCCUCGACCAGGACGAGAAAUUCUUCGAGGAAGUUUCGCAUAUCACAUUCGAUACAGUGCCGCCGAGAAAGCCGCGAUGACAAGGGGAAAAGAUUUCUUGGUCUGUUGACAAGACUGAAACGGGCCUGCCCAUUUGCUUCAUGAAGGAUCCUUUGAGUUGGGAUGGACACCUGAGGUCAGUCUUGAUAAACCUGCAUUGAUACAAAACAGUGUUGGGUUUCACUUCCAAAAAAGCUCCUCUGUUUCUGACCUAGCAUCAGAAAAGAUUCUGUUUAUUCGUACUGCUUGAGAAGCUUUGGGCGAAGUUUCCAUUUUUACACCAACAUAACCACUAACUUUUUCUGGAAUUGGUUGUUACCUAACCAGAGCUCAUCAGAGGCCCUCUCUUCUGUCCUAAAAGCACAGCUCUGUGUUUAUGAAGACAACGCACAUAAGAGGAAAUAGUAAAGAUCUGUCUUGUAGACCAGCAGUUUCAGGUUCCUCAGCAAUGACAAGCAGCUUGGCAUCAGCUAGAGUCCUGCAGAUGGCAAAGGUACCUGAGGAUUUGUACUGUUUAAAGUGCUGACUACAGCAGCGUCUGUAAAUAAGCCAGAAUAGAUUUAUGAACAGGUACCGUAUGUCUUUGCAAGGUAGCUCGAAAGACCAUUAGAUGCAGUUCCAUGGACAAGGAAAGGGGGAUUAUGCUGGAGAUAAAAAGCUGAGAUAUAGAUACAGAUAGGGUGAGAGUGUGAAAGUAUUGGGUGACGUGUCUAUUUAUUAUUGAGUCAGAGAUUUACGCUGCACUUUGCUUGAAUGGUGAUGGAGUGUUGAGGGAUGCGUGAGUGAAUUAAACCAAGAAAUUAAGUUACCGCAUUCCUCUGAUAUUCUUUAAGUGCUCCUUUCACUAUCUGUACGACUACCUGAGUGGUUUACUGAAGAGGUUUCUAGCUUAUAAUUAAACUGGCAUGAAGAAUUGGUCCAUUUCUGUCUCUCAUAUGUGCAUUAUGGACAUUCAUUUUUCAGGAACCUUUAGAAACAGUAGAAAUUCAUAGCUUACCGACAUGUAUGUGCAUUUCCCAUCCAUUUUCUAUAAUGUAAAAUCACCAAAUAUACUGUACAUAGUCUAAAUCAAAAUUGUAAUAUAAGUUAUAUACAUGUUUUUGCUUUGUGUGUGUGUGUGUUAAUAAACUGAAGGGUCAUGUGCGCCUGGGUGCCAUGUUUGUGUCUAGAUAAGAUGAUGCACAGCUAGUGCCCCAUAGGCUCUAUAUACCACUAUAAUUAGCCCCAGGCGGACAGCUUUAAUGAGCAGGAGCGAGAACUGUGGAAAGGCUUUGGUUCAGAUCAUUGCGUUAUGUUUAUUUCAGUGUGUGGGUUUUAAUGCGUGUCUCUAAGGAUGACUGGUCAGCACUGAUUAUAGUAACGACCCCCUUACCCUGCCUAAAUAACAGUCAUCUAUGCCACAGUUAGUUAUUUUACUCAAGGGCUAUAUAUAUUCAAAGCUGAAAAUGACAGCCAAAGGAGUCUUGGUUUGUUUUUAACGGAAGAGUGCAGCUGAUAAAACUCAACAUGAUGAGAGUGUUUUUCCCCACAAGUGAAUCUGUUUAUCAAGUGAACCUAAACAGUGGCCCUGUUUCUAUGGAGUUUUCAUUUUUGAAUAGAUGGAUGUACCUUGUAUAUGGUAUUUUAACACACCAAACUACAUUUUGCCUUAGUAAUUGUUAUUAAGCACAUGCAGAAUAGUAAGAAAAAAAGCAAUGUAUAUAGGAGCUGUGUGGAUUCCUGUCUGUUCUUCACCUUCUUAAUCUGCCACCACCUGCUAUUUCAGCACACUGAGCAGUCAGCAAUCAGCUGUGGGCAAAAGGUCAUUCCCUCAGAGUCUAUUACAUCAAAUAUGCUACAGUAAUACUUUUCCCUGGACUCCCUAACAAAGGCAAGCUACGUGUAUGGAACAUCCAUCCAUCCUUCACAGGAUCACACGGGACCUGGAUUCUAUCCUAGGGGACAAGGCACUUGGGGCAGCAGGGUGCCCUGGACAGGGUGCCAACUCAUCACACACAUUAUAGACAAUUUAGCACCUACACCACAUAUAUUUGGACAGAAAUGGGGAGAACAGGCAAUCGCUGCACACCGGGGCAGAGGCCAGUAGGAUGCCCUUGGUGUAUUUUACAAUUCCAAGGAAAUGUGUUUAUGAGUAAAUAUACAUUAUCAUUUAAUAGCAAGGAUGGAAGCAAUAAAUAUAAUUGCAUAUUAUUUAUUAGUGGUGUAGUUGUAGUUAUAGUGAUUUUAGAGUUAAGUGCAGCCUGUUGUUCCAAAACUCAAAUUUCAAACAAAGCCUGUCCUUUCAAUGAUCCCUCCAAAGUCACACCCCUAGAACUCUGCCUAGACUAGAGCUCCUUAUUGCCUCCACAAAAUGAAAGCUCUCUGGAGUUGAUUUGUAUUUUUGCAGCUGCACUCUUAGUCAUGUGCAGAUAUUACUGUAGCAUUUGGGUGUCAUGGUGUAUGUAGCAGGAGUAGCAAGAAGAACAUGAAAAGGACAUGAUAGAAAUUUUUUCAGGGGUUUAAACAGGAUCGUAAUAGUGAUAGGAAGGUUCACAGGGCAUCUGGUUGAGAUUAGUGAUAUGCAGAACAACAGGGAUUCCACAGGACACAAAUCAGUUAAGUCAAAUGAGCGUUCAUCAUUAGUAACUGCUUGAUCAGGAUUACCAACAACAGUCCUGUGUACUAAUCCCUAUUUCAAAAAAAGACAAGAAUAGAAACAAAAAAAAUUUCCGUUUAGGUCACACCCACAUCAGGUUUAAAUCCAGACAGAAAUCCAGUAUUGUAUUACACCCCAAGUUUUCAUAGACUGGUUAUUGUGUUUUCUAUACUUUUCAAGGCUGCUGACCUUUCUGGUUUCACUAGAAGGUGCUUUCCUUACAGCUAUACAAAGAGGCAUUACUAGUUUCUCCAAACACAAAAGCUUUAUUGAACACAACCCUUAGCUCUGGCUCAUUGGUCUGCCUUAUCAGCUGUCAUGAGAAAUGCUAGGAAACUCUGAGUCGUGUCAUUCUUUUCCCUGAUAUGUCUUGGAGAAAAAAAAUAAGCUUUAACGGAAAAACCUUCACCUAUGUGAUGAAGUUAGUUUUCUAAAGGGGAAUGUAAUCUAUGAGCACGACACACAAAAACUGCUUCUUUUGUAUUCAAGUAACAAGGCUUUAGACUUCAGGAUGUUAAAUGUAUUGUGAUGACAUAUGGGUAAUGUAUAAUUUGGCAUUUUAUUUGAGGCAAGGAUUGAGAUAAUGUAUUGAGUGUUUUUAACAGCAGCUCUUAAUCGGUUUUCUUUAAAACCCCUCUGUUGUGGCACCACUGCAUAAUUGAUGAACAGGUAGUGCUUACCGUGGUGAUUGAUGGCCUUUUCUGUAAGGAAACAGCAGUGAGUUUAACCAGCUGAAAAAUUCAGGUGAGAACAGAAAAUAGGACCAGCCUGAGUGCACCAUACAAAGUCCAAUGUUCUUCCUGAUUCUUCUACACGAACCAUAUUUCUGACAGCUAAUAUUCCUCACGUGCCAUAUCCUCAGCUAUAGGACUGUGAGACAAACCCUUUUCAUAUACAUUGCAUGAACUUCUGUUUUUUAAUAAUGCUACAAUGUAAGUGACUGCAGGUUGAUACCAUAAAGGUCAGGCCGUCUGCACAGGCAACUUGAGACAGAAAUUUCCCGAGAGAAAUCCAAUUAGAUCAUUACCUCAUAGGGCAGCAACACAGCCACAGCAUUCUUUGUCCAUUUUUCUGAAUUUAGGCGUCACCACUAUGGUGCAGAACUGAGCUUUGAAAACUCCAAUAAGGCCGCACCCUUUCACUCUGAGCUCUUUUGUCUUGCCAUGCCUCGGCAAGGCCCUUCAUUACACUCCACACCUAGCAGUGCAUUUCUCUCUGUGUGGAGAGAGAACAUCACAGCCCAAAUAUGGUAGCAAUGGCAGAGACACACAAUCACACCGCUGUAGGAACCUAUAUUUGUGUGCAAAUGUUACUUCAUUAUAAACCUAACCAUAAACUUCUCCCUAACCACAACAGCAACUCUAAAAUCAACUCUAACCAAUACUUAAUAAUAAACCUUAGCCCUAAUCAUACGUUGAAACUAAAUUUAACCAUUCUACAUUUGAUGCAUUGCAACUAUAUAGGAGCCCUUUAGGAAUAAAAACAUACAUACACACAUCCACAACAUUUAGUUGAAAUACAAAGAGGAACUGGGACUUUCUGAGUAAGUUUUAACCACACAGACUUCCUCUCUCCUCCACGUCAUUUGAUCAGUAAUCAGAGCACGUUGGCCAGGUUGCUCAACAAAGGCACAGCCAAACAGAGAGGAGUCACUGUUUCCAUUUAGAGAGCUUAGCACACUGUGGUGAAAUGUGAGUUACGCAUUAAUGUAUUUCUUUUAUAAAAAUCACAACACAAACCUCAGGUCCCUCUGACACUGGAAUAUAAGAUUAGGCAAACUGGAAUAUAAGAUUAGGCAUUUUUGGUAAACUAAGCACUAGGAAAUUACAUCUGAAAAUGUAAGUGUGCAGCUCACUGCCUUGAUAAAUCCGUUAAAUAGUAAUAGCUGUAUACCCGUAUAACCUGUAUAUAUGUACCUUAUCUGUAUAUUUUUUAAGAUAUGUGUAAUGUUUUUUUCAGCCUCAUGAGUGUUCUUCAUUACUGCUCAAAUACCACAGGAACAAACUCCAGGCACAAUCAUCUGUUAACUCUCUCGUGCACAAAACAUAUGCUGCAAGUUUUUCAAAGUUACCUACAUUGUAAAGUGAGCUCAAUGCACUUAAAGCUGACAUUCUGUAUUUAACGUCAUUUGUGAUGUCCAAUUAUUAAGAUAAAGGUUCAAAAAAGAGUUUCGAUCCAUGGGUUUUAUCUAAUUUUGUUGUUUCCACAAUAAAUGGAAUAACAGUUUUUCCACCACAAACAUCCUUCCACAUAAUGUUAGCUUUUAUGAUAGGAUUUUUAGCUCUCUUUGAAAGCAACAAAAAUGCUUAAUGAUCUUUCAGUUAAAAGGUAUACCACAGACUGGAAACAUAAAUAGAACAUUAUAAACUUCUAAAUAAUAAACUUUUCUGACACUUUUUUAUUCUUUAAGUGUAGUUUGUUAAGCAGGUUCUUCUUGAACACGUCUGUUGUAAGUUUUUAUAUAGAAAACUUUAGGGUGCAAGAUGGCACCCAUUUGGUAUCCAUUUAAUAACAAACGUUAAAUGUGUAGUUUCCAGUACAAACAACCUUUCAGGUUAAUACCCUGCACCUGUGGUUUUGUAAUUUUUAUGGAAUGGAUAAAGCAUAAAAGUGGUAUUAUGGUAUUAUCCACUCACUUUCCCAGCAAAUAUUUUAUGUCCUGUCUUCCACUGCUUUGAAAAUCUAUAGCAGUUUCAUAUGUCUAGCUGAGCCUAAUGGAUGAGGGAGAGACACAACAGCACAGUAUUGCAGUGGGCACAGGGUGCACUGAAUCCUCAAGAGAUCUCUCUCUCUCUCUCUCUCCCUCAUCCAUCAGAGGAGGCGGACAGUGGAAGUUAUGAUGGUGCUCUCUGCUGGCCCUGGGUUGCUCUGAGGCUCGGAUAAGGCCCCUAACCUCCCACCCCAUUCACAUAGAGCCUACAGCUGAGCCUAGCCAGUAAUUGUAGACAUCAAUAAAGCUUUCACAUCAUAUCUUUUCCCCUCUCUCUCACCCAGCCAGGAUGGGUCGAGGACAUCAUAAUUUAAUUGAGGAGAAAAUGGGACUGAGGCUGAAAUAAUAUCUAUAUUACCCACAUAGCUGGGAGGAUGAUGAGGGAGAAGCUGUCCAGUUUGCAAGAGCCAAUGACUUCUGUUUCUUUCUUUAUGGUCCAGCCUCCCAAUUUCUUUGCUGUGAUCUGUUGUAAAGAGAGGAAAUGGAUCUAUAACUCAUUUACUCUGACCACCAAUGCAUGGCUAGAGAAGAGCUUCAGAUUCUUAGUAGCCUACAUCUGCAUUCAAAAGUUGAUGAGGGCAUGGUCAUUACUGAGAAGGGUGUGCUCAUCGUUAAGACUUGAUGCCAUGUUUUUGCCCCUUAGUUCAUUUGAAUCAAAUCUAUAAAUUGUAGCACGUAUUAUUAAAAGUCAUAAAAAGUUCCUGAGAAACUGCCACUGACAUAAAAUGGAAAGCCAGUGUGGUCUGGAUUGUUAAAAUGUUUCAGUAGAGGAUGUUCUUCCUACGAAAGCUGAUGAAUGUCUAUCCUGUUGCAGGCGCAGACUGAACAAGCUGCAUCGCUCCAUUAGCUCAGCUGAAAGGGUAGGGAGGAAACCUGCCCACCUGCAGGAUUUGUUGACUUCACAGUCAGGAAGCAGACAUAAAAAACAAAAACAUCAACCUUUCACACCUCCAGUGGAUGUUUCAGAUCAAUGUCUGUCAACACCACUAGAAACCAUAACAGCUUCUUUUCACAUGUGUAACCAAGCUUUUCACCUAAUGACAGGAAAUGUUUCAGUACAUGGCUCAUCUAAUGUUAGUUACAUUUUCAAAAUGUAAUGUAAUCUUUCCUGCUCCAAUAACAUUUAUACGUACUGUAGCAGGCUUAAAGAAUAGCAACAGUGUGACCACAGCGAAUAAGGCACACCAAUAAAACACAGUCUUCAACUCUGUGCUAAUACAAACACUAAAUAAAAUACCUCUCCUUGCAGAGUAGAUAAAUCCACACAUAUUUAAUUUUGGUUAAAUAUUUAACAUACCAAUGAACAAUAGUGACGGAUUUAAAACAGCUUUAAAACAGAAUUGUUACAUGGCCUUAAAAUCUAUUUUUCUUCUCUUAAAAUGCAGUUGCAUGGCCCGCAGAACUAAAACAACCUUUCAGAAUACAUUCUGCCAUUACGGUAUGCAUAAAUACUCCGAAACAGCCGUUCAUACUGACCCAUCUGCCUGAAAUAUGCUCAUCUUUAUCAUUAAAAGGGCUGCUUAUUGUAAAAUAAAAAGCCAGCAGUGCCACACUCCCUGAGGGCAUUAGAACAGAGUUUGACAUUAACUGCAUUCCUCCAGACUCCUCUGGAAUUAUUGAUUUUUCUCAUAAAGCAUGGGUUUGAUUAAGAGAGCAGGAUUUAGACAUGAAAUUCAAAUUUAGAUGAGCUUCAGAGGCCACCACAUCUGCUUCUGAAUUUUAAUGUGAAUUAGGAACAAGAGAGAGAGAGAGAGAGAGAGAGAGAGCAGGCAAAUGGGAGACUCUCUGUAAUGAAGUACCGUCAUCUAAAAGAAAAAGAUUACUGAUAGCUGCUCGCUUCACUCAGCACUUCUGAUCAGAAUUAAGUACAGGCUUUGCAAAACAAACCUUACGCUCCUACGGUUUAAAACUGCUAUUUGUGUAAUGAUGGAUGUCCUUCAGACAAAUAAUACUUGCUCAAGUUGUGUUUACUUUGGAAAGCUAGCUUUGUGGGUUAGUAUUGAAUUGGACGUGAUAAAGCCAUAUGGCUACAGCAGAUGGUUAGGAGCUUCUGAGCUCUUAGACCUUCAGUAGACUAUUAUUUUUUUUGCAUAACUCUGUGAUGGUUAUUGUGGUAAUGGUGCUGUGUGUUAACAAUGCGUACACAGUAGUAGUAAUUAACUACACCAUGGUGUAAUCAUACGGUAAGCUUCUAAGUGCUGUAGUGAAGAAAUAAAAAAAUAAGUAAAAUAUCUAUUAAAUGUCAUAUACCUUUCAAUUUUCAGGCAUUUUAUAUUGCUCUCCAGUCGCCAAUACACUUGUUAAGGGACCGUUGCUCUAAAAAUGUCUUGAAUGUCUUAAAAAUAAAUAAAUCCAAUAAAUAGUUUGAAUUUUUUUAAUAAAAUGCUGUAUUUCUUCCUUGCAAGCUGAAAGCCUAUUUUUAAGGACACCAUCCACUAGUCAUUAAUAUUCAUAAAGCAGACCCCUGAUGUUUACUGAUAUUAAUUGGAAUACUAGUGGCUUCUCAAAGACAAAGCAGUGUUUUGUUGUCAAUAAGCUAAAUCAGACACCUGCACUGCUAGAUAUCUGGGUUUUCAGUGCUGUCCUGCACAUUUUUCCAUGCUCAUUAUUGUAUGUAUCACUUCAAAUCACAAAGCUAGCUUACUGAGUAGUGUUUUAAACUUUUACAAUUUUACAUUACUAUAGUGGAGUAGCGUGUGUAGAAUAAUAGUACGGGUAUAUGUUGGUAUGAGCCAAUCACAGGGGCCAAAAGAAACUCAGUGAUUCAUUUUUUUUUGUAAAUACCAGCAAUGGGUCAACAAUGACAAUACAGUACAUCAUACUGUGUACAUGUUAACUGUGUAUUUUCAUUUGUUUUCUUAAUAGUUCCUUAAUAUAUGUAACUAUACACAUUUAGUCUUGUUGAACAUACUCCAUAAAACAUUUACAUUAUAACAUUAUAAUCUUUCCCUUUAACAGCCUGGCUUUUUUCUUUCUCUUAAUUUUAUUAAGAAAAAGUACCGUUUCAGCCUUACGCUCACCAUUAGCUCUUAGCUGUUACAAAAAAAAAAGAAAACGGCUGUGGAGUCUCCCAAAAUUUUUACAUAAACAUCACCUCACAAAAAUCUUUACCAUAUCAACAAUUAGAUAUUUUCUUUAAAUCGUUUUAUGUUGGAAUCCCUUCUUUACAUUUCUGUGUUGCCAUCUUAAUAUAUAACAGGUUGUUAUAAAUCUUUCUACUGGAACUACUGUUCUGAAAGCAUGCAAAUUUCCAGCUGUUUUUUUUCCAGUUGCUUUUUACAUAUAAUGUUUACAUGAUAAGCAGAAUAAAAUGAUUAAAAAAAGAUUAAAAUGGUGCUUCCAUGAGCAAGAACAAAUAAGAGUUUAGUGUGUCUUUAACUACAAACCGACAAAACAGUUGUGAAAUUGAAGCAGGAGCAGACCUAUGUAGACCUCUGUCAUUAUUAAAUGAUAUUAAUUCCAGUAAACAUUAGCAUGGUGUGCUCUUUACCAGAACCUAGCACUAAGAUUAUGAUGUGUCAGUAUAAUUACCAAGAAAUGUACCAUGAUAGACAAGAAAGUCUAUCUACAUCUUUAAUCUCAUUAAACAAGCUUCUGUGAGCAGGGGCAAAGGCUGAUGGUCAAGACUGGAUACUUAGAGGGUUGUAUUGUAAAAUGGAUGCUCUAAUUAAAGGCUGCCAGUACUGAUUUUGGCCCUUGUCACUGGAUGACUGACCCGAGGCCAGGAGGUGGAUUACAGAGAAAAUGAAGGAGGAACUAGACACUUAACUGAGGUUUCUUCAUUUAAAGUUUCUUCUUAAUUUCUUAACUUCUGUAGCCCACAUUUAAAUGAGUUCGGCUCACAAGUCCCUGUUAUAGUCACACUGAUGGAUUUUAUUUGUGCUAUAUAAACACAAUCGUUGUAAUAAGGGAAUUCAAAUAUCUCAUUGAAAUACUGUACAAGUAAAUGUGAUGUACUGUAAUUUUGCUAUCACAGAUGAUUGUACAGUGACCAGUGGAUUCAGAAAGUAUAUUAAAAGUCACAAUGGUUUCCCGAAAAAUCCUGAGUUUCCUUUAACACUUACUAGGCCUUUAUGGUCGGAGUGUAGGAUCACUCACUGCACUCUAGACCCAUUGUCAUGGUUACUUUGUUGCUCAUCUUCAGCACAUGAAAGCUUUGUGUGUUUCAUCAGACAUAUAAUCAUUCAGCAUGUUAUGCCUCCUUAGCGAAUUAUACCAAUGUGUAAUACUAUUGGGAGCCUAGUGAUACAAUGAUACAGUACUGUUAUAGUAAUAAUAAGCAGUCAGCAGUAAUUUACUGGUAUCCAUGCAGUACAAAGCCGGUCAAUAGACUCAUUUGGAACAUAGUUUAUGCCCACAGUUUCUGUGAAAUUAAUCUUUAUAUAUAUUGAUGAAAGAUAGUUCAGUCCUCAUGCCCAGUAUUCAUGGGAUAGACUCCAGAUCCAAGGUGAGCCUGAUCAGGAUAAAGCAGUUAAUGAAAGUGGGUUCAAAGUGAUGAUAUAUGAAUGACCAGAGCCAGAGCACUGAAAUGUGAUGAGCACUCUGGGAGAUUUUCUGUUCACCAUCUCUAAUCUAAUCCUGUCAUCUGGCUUCAUUCAGACAAACACAUAUUUUUACAUUUUCAUUUUUCCAUCACAGAACAUCGUGCAAACAUAUUUACACACUUAUCCACACCUAGGAACAAUUUAGACUAGCUAGUUCACAUAUUGUUAUGUUUCUGGGAGGAGCAAGGAAAUCAGAGAACCCAGAGGAAAUCAACAUACACAGAGAGGAGAGAACAAAUGUAUCCCCACAUAGACUGUAACCCAAGCUCAGGAUCGAAAGAGGAGCCCUGUGACUGACAGAUGGCAAUGGCACUGUGUCAAUAUAUAUUGGAAAAUAUAAGAGUUUAGAAAUGUAUUAUAUUUACUCAGUCUUAGGUACAUGCAAAUAUUAUGUCAAUAGUUUUUACUAAAAAAUCAGUGUUUCAAAUUUAAUUGAAAUAGCUGGAGGUUUAGGAUUUCUACACUUCUGGAAAUGAUUCAAUCUUUCCGUAUCAGUUCCAUGAGUAAAACGUGUUUUUUUUUCCUU